UACGUAGGGGGCCAGCGUUGCUCGGAAUUACUGGGCGUAAAGGGUUCGUAGGUGGUGCGGCAAGUUGGGAGUGAAAUCUCUGGGCUCAACCCAGAGGCUGCUUCCAAAACUGCCAUGCUUGAGGGUGGGAGAGGCGCGUGGAAUUGCAGGUGGAGCGGUGAAAUGCGUAGAUAUCUGCAGGAACACCCGUGGCGAAAGCGGCGCGCUGGACCACAACUGACGCUGAGGAACGAAAGCUAGGGGAGCAAACAGG
rnacentral:rRNA from 1 species